ensembl:lncRNA
GUAUGACCGCACAACCUUUUACUGGUCAAAAUAGUUUAUGAACUGGUUUAUCAUAGCUUUAGAACAUCUCAAGAAUGUCUGGUACAGUAUAUUGCCAAUUUACCAAAGUGCUGCAUCUAGGCACUCCACUUUGUGCAUAAGAACAGCUCUUAGCUACUUAAAUAGAAUCUGAAUGGUUUGAACCCUGAAUGCUGAAAGCUGUGUUACGUGAGAUCAUAACUAAGAGCUUUAAGGAAAAGGAGAAAAGGUGUGCAUUAUUCAGAUGAUUGGAUUAAAGAGGAAAACUGGAUUGAAGGGGAGGAAGUCUCAGAACAUACCAGUAAAAGUAUCGAUACUUCAGUCAUCCCACUCGUGGGGGACAGUGAUCUGUCAGAGUACGGAGACAGACUGUCCACAUUUUACAGUCAGGACAAUUACAUGGAGGACAUAACCGAGAACUUCCGAGGCAGAUUAGGAUGUAUAAGGGACCAACAAACACGCAGACUGAAGACAGGACUAUUGGGCAAUACCAACGCCAAGAAGAAGCAAAGAAUAAUUGAACUCGGCUGGAUGGACUUCAAUGAAAAAGACCAAGAUUACAAACAGGUCAGGACAGUAAACGGAGGGGGCACAAGACACCUCUACGUCGACAAAAAGAAAACUGUUGAGGAAAUCCAAGUAAUGGCGGAGGAGAUCUUUUUCCCGAAUGGACUGUCAAAGAAAGAAACACAACUAGGGGACUAUCAGAGAGAAAUCCGAUGGAGGUAUUGUCAGGUGAACAACUCCAGCACCGUGGAUGAACUUUAUGGGGAAACCAAAGUAGGAUGCCUUCGACUCUAUCUCUGCACCAAGGCACACAAUGUCAGAGAUUUCAGGGUUGUGGCGCUCCAGUCUAGUGGUUAUUAGUUUUUGCCUGAGGUUCUUGUGAUUGAUCCUAUGUCAUUAAAUGGAUUAUAGAUUAUUCAUCCGUCUCAAGGCUUGGCGAGGCCCACUGAUCGUGAUAGCAUAGAAUAAUGUAUUCUAAAGGCUAAAUGAGGGGGCCCAGGCAUAUAUCUUUUCGGGGCAACCAGGAUUCCUGGCCACGGUCCUGCCUGUAGUUCUUGUGAACAAUUAUAAUUUAAUUUGUUAGGUUAUAGACUGCUUGUUUCUUACAAAACAAUAAUGUUUGAUUAAUUCUAUUGUUGACGUAUAUAAAAAUGUUGUCAGCUGAAAUGCAA